AACAAGACAAAGUAGCAGGAGUCAACAACAACAAAGUAACAGGAGUCAACAAGACAAAGUAGCAGGAGUCAACAAGACAAAGUAGCAGGAGUCAACAAGACAAAGUAGCAGGAGUCAACAACAACAAAGUAGCAGGAGUCAACAAGACAAAGUAGCAGGAGUCAACAACAACAAAGUAGCAGGAGUCAACAAGACAAAGUAGCAGGAGUCAACAACAACAAAGUAGCAGGAGUCAACAAGACAAAGUAGCAGGAGUCAUCAACAACAAAGUAGCAGGAGUCAACAAGACAAAGUAGCAGGAGUCAACAACACAAAGUAGCAGGAGUCAACAAGACAAAGUAGCAGGAGUCAACAAGACAAAGUAGCAGGAGUCAACAAGACAAAGUAGCAGGAGUCAACAAGACAAAGUAGCAGGAGUCAACAAGACAAAGUAGCAGGAGUCAACAAGACAAAGUAGCAGGAGUCAACAACAACAAAGUAGCAGGAGUCAACAAGACAAAGUAGCAGGAGUCAACAAGACAAAGUAGCAGGAGUCAACAACAACAAAGUAGCAGGAGUCAACAAACACAAAGUAGCAGGAGU